AGUGAACGCUGGCGGUAGGCCUAACACAUGCAAGUCGAACGGCAGCACAGUAAGAGCUUGCUCUUACGGGUGGCGAGUGGCGGACGGGUGAGGAAUACAUCGGAAUCUACUUUUUCGUGGGGGAUAACGUAGGGAAACUUACGCUAAUACCGCAUACGACCUACGGGUGAAAGCAGGGGAUCUUCGGACCUUGCGCGAUUGAAUGAGCCGAUGUCGGAUUAGCUAGUUGGCGGGGUAAAGGCCCACCAAGGCGACGAUCCGUAGCUGGUCUGAGAGGAUGAUCAGCCACACUGGAACUGAGACACGGUCCAGACUCCUACGGGAGGCAGCAGUGGCGAAUAUUGGACAAUGGGCGCAAGCCUGAUCCAGCCAUACCGCGUGGGUGAAGAAGGCCUUCGGGGUGUAAAGCCGUUUUGUUGGUAAAGAAAAGCAGCAGGUUAAUACCCCGCUGUUCUGACGGUACCCAAAGAAUAAGCACCGGCUAACUUCGUG
rnacentral:rRNA from 1 species